UACGUAGGGGGCGAGCGUUGUCCGGAUUUAUUGGGCGUAAAGAGCUCGUAGGCGGUUUGGCAAGUCGGGUGUGAAAACUCCGGGCUCAACUCGGAGACGCCACUCGAUACUGCUAUGACUCGAGUCCGGUAGGGGAGUGCGGAAUUCCUGGUGUAGCGGUGAAAUGCGCAGAUAUCAGGAGGAACACCGGUGGCGAAGGCGGCACUCUGGGCCGGUACUGACGCUGAGACGCGAAAGCGUGGGGAGCAAACAGG
rnacentral:rRNA from 1 species